GCCUUCAUGGUGUAGUGGUCAGCACGCUCGACGCGUAACCGAGAGGUUCCGUGGUUCGAUUCCCGGCGAAUGCG
rnacentral:tRNA from 1 species